rfam:Rhodanobacter sp. FW510-R10 contig5, whole genome shotgun sequence.
GUUGGUAGAGCACGACCUUGCCAAGGUCGGGGUCGCGAGUUCGAGUCUCGUUUCCCGCU